ACGCAUUUAUUAGAUAAAAAGCCAAUGCAUGCUUUUACAGUAUGGAAAUUGGUGAUUUAUAAUAACUUAGCAAAUCGCAAAGUGAAAACAGGCGAUAAAUCAUUCAAGUUUCUGACCUAUCAGCUUUCGACGGUAUGGUAUUGGCUUACCGUGGCAGUGACGGUUAACGGGGGAUUAGGGUUCGAUUCCGGAGAGGGAGCCUGAGAAACGGCUACCACAUCUAAGGAAGGCAGCAGGCGCGCAAAUUACCCAAUUCUAACAGUUUAAGAGAGGUAGUAACAAGAAAUAACAAUACAAGGCAAUUAAAAUGCUUUGUAAUUGGAAUGAUAGAAAUUUAAACCCUUUUUAAAGUAUCAAUUGGAGGGCAAGUCUGGUGCCAGCAGCCGCGGUAAUUCCAGCUCCAAUAGCGUAUAUUAAAAUUGUUGCAGUUAAAAAGCUCGUAGUUGAAGUUCUGCUAAAAGUAACCGGUCUGCUUUUAAUAAAAGUGGUAUCUUGGUGUGUAUUUAGCAAUGAUGUCCUUUGAA
rnacentral:rRNA from 1 species